AUUGAACGCUGGCGGCAGGCCUAACACAUGCAAGUCGAACGGUAACAGGAAGAAGCUUGCUUCUUUGCUGACGAGUGGCGGACGGGUGAGUAAUGUCUGGGAAACUGCCUGAUGGAGGGGGAUAACUACUGGAAACGGUAGCUAAUACCGCAUAACGUCGCAAGACCAAAAAGGGGGACCUUCGGGCCUCUUGCCAUCGGAUGUGCCCAGAUGGUAUUAGCUAGUAGGUGGGGUAACGGCUCACCUAGGCGACGAUCCCUAGCUGGUCUGAGAGGAUGACCAGCCACACUGGAACUGAGACACGGUCCAGACUCCUACGGGAGGCAGCAGUGGGGAAUAUUGCACAAUGGGCGCAAGCCUGAUGCAGCCAUGCCGCGUGUAUGAAGAAGGCCUUCGGGUUGUAAAGUACUUUCAGCGGGGAGGAAGGGAGUAAAGUUAAUACCUUUGCUCAUUGACGUUACCCGCAGAAGAAGCACCGGCUAACUCCGUG
rnacentral:rRNA from 1 species